CUGGGGAUUGGGAGCCAGCUGAGAGAAGCUGCCUGCCUGAGGUCAUUAAGCCCAGCCAGGCUGUUAUUGGCUGCACUGGCAUCAUUACUGUUAAUAUCCCCAACAGAAAAAGGCCUUAUAGAGCUCAGAGCAGACUUUUGGGGAUGUUGUCCCUUAUGUACUAGUUAUUGAGCUCAUUGGAUGCCUGGAACCUGCAUACUUUGUACAAACCUGAAUGGCAGAGCAACCCAUCUCAGUGAUGUCAUGUGUCAUGUGGUGAUGGCAGCUUGUAGAGCUGAGUUUUCUAUCCAGAGAACCAAGGUGCCCAGAAGUGCCCCAAGGCCACCACUGCCGCAUGGCAACCCAUGGGCUGUGGUGCUGGGGACAACAGCCAUGGGGAUGGAUGGACACUGGAAACCACCUGGCCAAGGUGUGCAUCUCCUCCUUCACCGUGAACCACGCCAAAUGCUCAGAUGGUAUCGGGGUGCACGAAGACGUCUCCAGGUGGUUUUGUCACACAUGAGGCAAAGCUCUGUUCCAGAACACUCUGUCCAUCUGCAACUACAGGUCUCCCAGGAACUGACUGUGACAAGAUGGAAGGUCAUCUUUGAACGCAACUCUAAUCAAAGAACAAGACUUAAUGUAUCCCCUGUCGGCAAUGUCAUGAUGGGAAUUCUCAGUGGAAGUCUUUACAAAACAGUAUUUCUGUCAUUACCUCGUGGCUUACACGCAGCGUAUCACAGCAGCUGAGGAUGGAAAUGUGGUUGCUACCACCGUCCAACUUCUGUUACAGCGCUUCAUGGCAUCCAGUUAUGUAUCUGAUCUUCUUUCCAUUCCUGUAACCAGCCCGGUGCCCCUUCAUCUUUUUUGUUCUUACCUCAUCUGUUGAACAAAUGUCACAGCCACAGUUAUUAGAAAUAUUUGAACCUGACAGCUGCAAAUACUCAAAGGCAACUAUAUGUGCCCAGGCCUAUAAUUAGGUGGAGCGUUUAAUUUUCUUUUUAAAUCACAGAGAUCCUGUAUUGGAAUCUCUGCUGACACAGAACAUCAAUACAGACAGUGUGACUUAGCAAUCUUUAUGGUCAUUUAUUUUCCAUGCAUGUAGGGACAACCAAUACAUCUAUUGUGGCAUCUAUUGUGUUGAUUUUGCUUCGCUGAAGCUCAGACAGUGCUCAGCUUCAGCAGAGACAGCACACUGGCUGCAACAAAGGUAAAGUGUGUUCCUUAGUGACUACUAAGUGGGUUAAAUAAGAACAACGUGUAAUUAUUAGUUAAUAAGUGCUGCAAGGUGCACUGAAACUGAAGUGGAAAAUCAGUUGUGUAGAUAUCUCUCUCUCAUCACCCCAGUCUUAUGGAGGGAUGAUCAAGACACCAGGGAUGCCCAGUUUUCUCAGAGCCAAAGUAACAGGUGAAGUUAGAGGCAACAAGUCACAGCCUUGGGUCUCAUUGUUCAGAGCAGUUGGGUUUUUCUUGAUAUCUGCAAUAAAUCCGUUUCCUAUUUUGUUGUGCUCCUGUGG
rnacentral:lncRNA from 1 species